AACUUUCAGCCUUUUGGCUAAGAUCAAGUGUAGUAUCUGUUCUUAUCAGUUUAAUAAUAUCUGAUAUGUGGGCCAAUGGUCCACACGAUAUUAAAUUAAUUUUUUAAGGGGGAAGGCCCACCACAAAAGCUUGCUAUUGGGGUCUUCGAGAGUCGCCCAAGUGCUGCACUACUGCUCGGGCCAGGCUCACCCCAC
rnacentral:snRNA from 1 species